CGGGAAACUGGGGAUAAUACCCCAUAGCCCAGGGACGCUGGAAUGCCUCCUGGUCCAAAGGUCCGCCGCCUGAGGAUGGGUCUGCGGUCGAUUAGGUUGUUGUUGGGGUAACGGCCCAACAAGCCUUUGAUCGAUACGGGUUGUGAGAGCAAGAGCCCGGAGAUGGAUUCUGAGACACGAAUCCAGGCCCUACGGGGCGCAGCAGGCGCGAAAACUUUACAAUGCGAGAAAUCGUGAUAAGGGAACCCCGAGUGCCCGUAAAUUCGGGCUGUCCGCCAGUGCAAAUAGCUGGGGAAGAAAGGGCCGGGCAAGACCGGUGACAGCCGCCGCGGUAACA
rnacentral:rRNA from 1 species